CACCUGCAGUCUCAGCUCUCUGACAGUAUUUUAAAAUGUUUCAAAAACACAAAAUGGUAUUGUGGUUAUUAGUAUUAUUUUUUAAGCAUACUGAUAUAUAAAAUAAUUUUUAUACGAAGUGAUUUCUUAACAUCAUUAAAUAUCCAGUAAGUGCCCAGAUUCCCAAUUGUCUCACACAUGUGAUAUUUUUUUCUAGCCGUUUCUCUGAAACAGACUCUAUGGCUCAGUACAGGGAGGUUGGCAAAAGUAGAUCCACAGCUGUGAGUCUGUGAAAGUUGAUUCUCGUAUAUUAUUUACUAAUUAUUGUAGUAACUUCCCACGCAAAGAACCGUCAACCUACUUUUGCCCACCCCUGUAUGUAUUUUAGGUCUCUGUAAUUUUUUGUUAAAGAAAUUGGUUUGUCCUGCAGACUAGUUUUUUUUCUGGUUGUAGUCCUUUGAUUUUUCAGUAAGUUAGAAUCUAGAGGCAUUCCCUAUUCUUAUUUCCACUGUUUUUCCCAAGAUUACUUCACAGUUGAUUAUUUGUUCCUCCACCAGGAGGCAUAUGGUAUCUGGUUGAUUCUGUCUUUUUAGGAUGUCAGCAACCAUUGCUACCUAAUGCCUAGCUUCAUUGAUUCUUUAGGGCUUAUAUUACUGUGACAUUCUAUCAUUCCUUUUUUCAUUUGUUAGCGGGAAUGUUGAUAGAGAGUAACUUUCCCUCCGGUAUUAAUUGGCUACCCAGUUGCAUUUGUGCCAUCGAUAAAUAUACUUAGUUUUGUUCUUUUUAUCAGUUUUCAAAAUGAUAAGUUGGUUCAUUAUUCUCUAGUGGUAACCAGUGAGGAGCAGGGUUUUUUGUUUGUUUGUUUUUGUGAAGUGUGUUUUUCAAACCCCCUUCCCCCCAAAAAACGUUUCUUUUUUAAA